GGGGUGCGGGGGCGGGAGAGGGCGGCGCCGCUCCCGGUGAGGCAAGCGGCGCCGAAGCGGUGGAGGCUGAGCAUGAGGUAGGACAACGACCUCCCAGGUCGGAAUAGGAGGCUGCGGCGGGCGUCGCGGCGGAGGUCCCGGUCGAGCGCGGCGGAGAGGGUGGGGGACGGGGACGCCGGGCGGGCCAUGGGGAUCGGAGCGAGGCGCGCACGCGUGGGCCGGGCGAGAGGUGACCCGCAGGCGCAGUGGCAUCGCGGUGGGGUGGGUAGGCAUGUGCGGAGAGGAAAACGAUGGGCGGCGGCGAUUCCGACGCGGGCGGGCGGGAUGAACAACGCGAUUCCGACGCCGGCAGCGGGUGUCGACCGGAGAAGGGGUUUAUGCCGGGGC
rnacentral:lncRNA from 1 species